GAUGAACGCUAGCUACAGGCUUAACACAUGCAAGUCGAGGGGAAACGGCAUCGAGAGCUUGCUUUUGAUGGGCGUCGACCGGCGCACGGGUGAGUAACGCGUAUCCAACCUGCCCAUCACUUGGGAAUAACCUUGCGAAAGUAAGACUAAUGCCCAAUGACAUCCCACGAAGGCAUCCGAAUGGGAUUAAAGAUUUAUCGGUGAUGGAUGGGGAUGCGUCUGAUUAGCUUGUUGGCGGGGUGACGGCCCACCAAGGCAACGAUCAGUAGGGGUUCUGAGAGGAAGGUCCCCCACAUUGGAACUGAGACACGGUCCAAACUCCUACGGGAGGCAGCAGUGAGGAAUAUUGGUCAAUGGGCGAGAGCCUGAACCAGCCAAGUAGCGUGCAGGAUGACGGCCCUAUGGGUUGUAAACUGCUUUUAUAAGGGAAUAAAGUGGGUCACGUGUGACUUUUUGCAUGUACCUUAUGAAUAAGGACCGGCUAAUUCCGUG
rnacentral:rRNA from 1 species